AUGAACGCUGGCGGCGUGCCUAAUCCCUGCCAGUCGCGCGAACAGACGAGGAGCUUGCUCCUCUGACGUUAGCGGCGGACGGGUGAGUAACACGUGGAUAACCUACCUAUAAGACUGGGAUAACUUCGGGAAACCGGAGCUAAUACCGGAUAAUAUAUUGAACCGCAUGGUUCAAUAGUGAAAGACGGUUUUGCUGUCACUUAUAGAUGGAUCCGCGCCGCAUUAGCUAGUUGGUAAGGUAACGGCUUACCAAGGCAACGAUGCGUAGCCGACCUGAGAGGGUGAUCGGCCACACUGGAACUGAGACACGGUCCAGACUCCUACGGGAGGCAGCAGUAGGGAAUCUUCCGCAAUGGGCGAAAGCCUGACGGAGCAACGCCGCGUGAGUGAUGAAGGUCUUCGGAUCGUAAAACUCUGUUAUUAGGGAAGAACAAAUGUGUAAGUAACUAUGCACGUCUUGACGGUACCUAAUCAGAAAGCCACGGCUAACUACGUG
rnacentral:rRNA from 1 species